rnacentral:lncRNA from 11 species
CUCUAUUUAUGCUUGGAUUUGUCGCUGGCUGGACUGCCGGUAUAUGAAACUGUGUAUAUGACUAUUAAAUCACCUCAUGUCUGGCACCAGCAUACCAUUAGGUUGGAGCACCUAGAAAUUCCUAGGAAUUUGCUUGGUGUUCCAGUGCAAUUCUACGAUAACUUCUGGGGGAAGUAUACCAUAGAAUCACCAGGAGGACCUAGCAAAUUCCUUAAGAGACCAUACUUUCUCCAAAUGUGGGCCCAUCUGCUACCGGCCCUAACCCAGAUGAUAGAGAGCCUACCCACAGCAUCCUUUCCUCCUUCAGACAGUUCCAGGAACAAGCCGUGAGUCAGCUGUGCAGCUGAGCUUGUAUUUAGCUAACCCUGCUGCCCUGCCUGUUCCCGGUGCAGGAUGUGCAGCUCUGCGACAGCCGCCUUCCAGAUUCAUCCACUUUUAUUGAGAGGCCUCGAGCAGAGUUUCUUCAUAUUAUUAUUUCUUCUUCUCCACUUCCUGCUCAGCAGCUUCUUUGGCCCGUUUGUCCUGGAUGCCGAAGAGCCGCACAUUGGCUCUGACCAUGCGCAGGCUGGCAAAGGCCUUGAAAUUCUUCUCCUCGGUGCUGACCUGGGCCUUCUCUUUCUUGUGAACAUUCGUUAUGGGCAUAACUGGUCCGGAGAGCUGGAUGGCCAUCUUGAGCUCUUCUGCUGGACUGUCUCCAUUCUUAGGCGCAGAAGGCUUCCUGGGGAACAGGAUGAGCUUGGAGUGGUACUCCUUUAGCCGCUGGACGUUGGCCUGCAAGGCCUCUGUGAACCUGUUGCGACCUCGGGGGUCCACUGCAAACAUGUAACAUGUAAUUUUUAUCCUUGUAUUCCCUGUAAAAUACAUUUAAGAAGGGUGUAAAGAAAAGAAAGAGUUAAAAGCAGGAUCCAAGAUUCAAAUAAAUGUAGUGUUCCUCAGUCUUAGAGAAAGAAACUGAGGAGGGAGGGAGGAUGGGUAGAUGAGUAUGGGUAUAUUCACUCCUCGUUCAGAUAGAGAAUGAUAUACACUAAUUGAUAGUAUAGAAAAGAACAUUAUGAUUUUCAUUCCUCUCUUUUGUAUCUCGUGACCAUAUAAUUUCAGUGAUCCUUGCAUGAAACGCAACAGUAAUAUGUUGGCGGAAGCUACUUGCGUGAUUCUCAUAUGGAUGAAGCCGCUAUUGUUAUGGAAUGUGGUAAAGCUUUACCUUUGGCAGUGUAGUCAUCUGUCUCUGUCUCUAGAGAGGAUAAUGACACAGUUUUUGAUGUGUUUGUUAAGAUGGAAGCUGUCUUGCAUAAGAAUUACUCUCUGCGGAAGGAGAAUGUAUGGGUUCUCCUUGUGUCUCUUUUGCACUGAUUGUGAUCCCUGUUGGUGGUGGACAAACACUUAUUAAAGACACAUACAAACACAAAAGCCAAUAAUUUAUAUUUUCAUUUUGGCUCAGUCAAAUGGCUCUCUCCUCUUUAUUCCCACCCCACCUUAUCUUACUGUGGAGAAAUCCUGUGCCUUUUAAAUUGUAUUGCUUCUGUGAGUCAUGUAUUGUAAGAUUGUAACCUCAAGGUUUGGAAGCAAUCUGCCUUGGCAGGAGGUAUAGCUGUGAAAAGAGAUUAUUCAGCAGUUUAGUGGAAACAUUUAAAAGGCAGGAGUUCGCUCAAAAUGUCUCAAUAGCAUUGGUUCCAAAAGAGAGUCUAAAGAUGCCAAAAAGUUAAUGAAUGGUAGAUUGUGUUGAAUAUUAUGUGUCUGCUUUUAAACAAAUGGGGUAUAAUGAAUGUAUUAAAUUAUGAUAAUAUAAAAAAAUGAUUGUAAAAAAACAACAGAGUAAUUGGAGUGAUUAUUCAACUUUGUUUCUCAAGAUAUUUGAGACUCAGCUCUCAGAAUUACUUAACGUUGGCCCAGAUGCCUGGGGCUCCUGGGAAUUGAAGUCCAAAACACCCGGAGGACCAAAGUUUGGAAACUGCUCUAAGGCCAUUACACUAGGGCCCCUUCUAUACUGUCCUACAUCCCAGGAUCUGAUCCCAGAUUAUCCGCUUAUUCCAGAUUAUAUGGAAGUGGAGGCUCAUAUAAUCCAAUUCAAAGCAGAUAAUCUGGGAUGAGAUCCUGGGAUAUAGGGCAGUGUAGAUCCAGCCUAGGAAAGCUCAAUCUAUUCCCAGCUAUGGUGCAACUAAAAUCAGAGAGCACAGGGAAGGGGUGGUAGUGGCUAUUACUGACACAGACUCAGUUUAUUUAUUUAUUUAUUAAUCAUUAUUAUUGUUACCCCACUUUCUCUUUCCAAAAACGAGAUUCAAAGCAGUUUACAGUAAAACCAAUACAAUACAAUUUCAAACCUCAAAAACAUACAAACAUUAAAAUAGAAUUAAAAAUUAAUGGUAUUAAAAUGUAAACAGUUAAAAUCCUUAAAAAUUUAUUCUAAAUUAUUCAGAGUUAAAACCUCAGCACCCCCU